CAAGUCGAACGAGAAAGUGGAGCAAUCCAUGAGUACAGUGGCGUACGGGUGAGUAACACGUGGGUAAUCUACCUCUUAGUGUGGAAUAACCCUGGGAAACCGGGGCUAAUACCGCAUAAGCUCGAGAGAGGAAAGCAGCAAUGCGCUGAGAGAGGAGCCCGCGGCCGAUUAGCUAGUUGGCAGGGUAAAAGCCUACCAAGGCAAAGAUCGGUAGCCGGCCUGAGAGGGCACACGGCCACACUGGCACUGAAACACGGGCCAGACUCCUACGGGAGGCAGCAGUGGGGAAUCUUGCACAAUGGGGGCAACCCUGAUGCAGCGACGCCGCGUGAGCGAUGAAGCCCUUCGGGGUGUAAAGCUCUUUCGGCAGGGAAGAUUAUGACGGUACCUGCAGAAGCAGCUGCGGCUAACUACGUGCCAGCAGCCGCGGUAAUACGUAGGCAGCAAGCGUUGUUCGGAGUUACUGGGCGUAAAGGGUGUGUAGGCGGUUCUCUAAGUUUGGUGUGAAAUCUCCCGGCUCAACUGGGAGGGUGCGCCGAAUACUGAAGGACUAGAGUACGGGAGAGGAGAGUGGAAUUCCUGGUGUAGCGGUGAAAUGCGUAGAUAUCAGGAGGAACACCGGUGGUGUAGACGGCUCUCUGGACCGUAACUGACGCUGAGACACGAAAGCGUGGGUAGCAAACAGGAUUAGAUACCCUGGUAGUCCACGCCCUAAACGAUGCAUAUUUGGUGUGGGUCAUUCAGUUGAUCCGUGCCGGAGCUAACGCGUUAAAUAUGCCGCCUGGGGAGUACAGUCGCAAGGCUGAAACUCAAAGGAAUUGACGGGGGCCCGCACAAGCGGUGGAGCAUGUGGUUCAAUUCGACGCACCGCGAAGAACCUUACCUGGGCUCGAACGGCUUCUCAACGCCGGUGGAAACAUCGGUACCC
rnacentral:rRNA from 1 species